ACUGAUAAAGUGUUAAAACUUAGAUGAGAUGUUGGUGUUUUAUGGCUCACGAAUUCGCAAUAACGGAUACGUAUAGCAGUUCGUGUUAAUGACAUUAAUCCAAACUUAUUGAUGACGUGAUAACAUGGGCGUCGAAUCCCAUAUUAAUCAUGCUGAGGUUUUCUCGACGGGGUAAUGUGUAUAAAUGCAGUUAUAAAAUUAAAAGGGACAAGAUAGUCGACGUGACCCUCAUGUUUUCAUGGCAAUCAGUCAAUCACGUUACGCUUAUGAUCGCACCUGCGGUCAUUCGCGCAGUAUCCAUGAUUUUAAGCGGCAUGAAACACUUAAGUUAACUCCUUUGUACGAAAAUAUCAUGUCGUAGCCCUUCAAAUUAGAAAAGUGAGGAUGAUCUUGUCAAUGCUGAGAUUUUCAUGCAUCAACAGCCACUACAUCUGGAUCAGAUUGAACAAGAAACAGACAGCAAGGGUUGUCAGGUCAGAAACAGAAUGACACACAAACACAAGAAACUUCACAGGCAGAUCAACAUGCAAUUUGAAGACGUGUGAUAAAAUACAGAGAGGUGAAGUAGUGUGUCUUUCCAGAUGCCCAAAUCAUUCCCCCUUAAAAGAUGAGCCUGAAGAGGAGAUUUGGGAAGAUGCUGUUUCAUAAGUCGCUUUGCCAGAUCACCUGUGGUCGGGAUGUCUGCUAACAAGAUGCCUUGCUGGUCUGAGCGAGUUUAAAGUCUUACACAGACAGUCCAGAAGUUCUGAAGUCCAUCUUCGAUUUCAUUGAUGCUGUCAUCAUAUUAAGUACAGCAUGAGCCAGAAUAGAUGGGUGGUGGUGGCCAUAAGAAGACUGUCAACUAAACCAACAACAAAAUUCAUAUUUGCAGUUUUUCUUGAAUAAAGUUUUUCUAUUCAGAUUAAUAAAAUGACUUUUAAACAUGA